rnacentral:rRNA from 1 species
AACGAACGCUGGCGGCAGGCUUAACACAUGCAAGUCGAGCGCCCCGCAAGGGGAGCGGCAGACGGGUGAGUAACGCGUGGGAAUCUACCCAUCUCUACGGAAUAACGCAUGGAAACGUGUGCUAAUACCGUAUAAGUCCUUCGGGAGAAAGAUUUAUCGGAGAUGGAUGAGCCCGCGUUGGAUUAGCUAGUUGGUGGGGUAAAGGCCUACGUAGGCGACGAUCCAUAGCUGGUCUGAGAGGAUGAUCAGCCACACUGGGACUGAGACACGGCCCAGACUCCUACGGGAGGCAGCAGUGGGGAAUAUUGGACAAUGGGCGCAAGCCUGAUCCAGCCAUGCCGCGUGAGUGAUGAAGGCCCUAGGGUUGUAAAGCUCUUUCACCGGUGAAGAUAAUGACGGUAACCGGAGAAGAAGCCCCGGCUAACUUCGUGCCAGCAGCCGCAGUAACAC